GAACGCUGGCGGCGUGCUUAACACAUGCAAGUCGAACGGACUUAAGGGGCUUGCUUCUUGAGUUAGUGGCGCACGGGUGAGUAAUAUAUAGCUAACCUGCCCUUUAGUGGGGGACAACAGUUGGAAACGACUGCAAAUACCCUAUACUCCUUCUUACUAUAAGGUAAGUUGGGAAAGAUUUAUCGCUAAAGGAUGGGGCUUUAUUGUAUCAGCUAGUUGGUGGGGUAAUGGCCUACCAAGGCUAUGACGCAUACCUGGUCUGAGAGGAUGAUCAGACACACUGGAACUGAGACACGGUCCAGACUCCUACGGGAGGCAGCAGUGAGGAAUAUUGCACAAUGGAGGAAACUCUGAUGCAGCAACGCCGCGUGGAGGAUGACGCAUUUCGGUGUGUAAACUCCUUUUAUUAGGGAAGAUAAUGACGGUACCUAAUGAAUAAGCACCGGCUAACUCCGUGCCAGCAGCCGCGGUAAUACGGAGGGUGCAAGCGUUACUCGGAAUCACUGGGCGUAAAGGGUGCGUAGGCUGGCUUUUAAGUCAGAUGUGAAAUCCAAUGGCUCAACCAUUGAACUGCAUUUGAAACUGAAAGCCUAGAGUUCAGAAGGGGCAGAUGGAAUUAGUGGUGUAGGGGUAAAAUCCGUAGAUAUCACUAGGAAUAUCAAAAGCGAAGGCGAUCUGCUGGGAUGAUACUGACGCUGAG
rnacentral:rRNA from 1 species